GUGCUCACUUCAGCAGCACAUAUAUUAAAAUUGGAAAGAGACGGAGAAAAUUAGCAUGGCCCCGACACAAAGAUUGCAAAUUCAUGAAGUUUUCCCGAAAAAA